rnacentral:rRNA from 1 species
UGGGGAAUUUUCCGCAAUGGGCGAAAGCCUGACGGAGUGACGCCGCGUGUGGGACGAAGGCCUUCGGGUCGUAAACCACUGUCAGUGGGAAAGAUGGGUGCCGGUGUUAAUACCAUCGGCAUCUGACGGUACCUGCAGAGGAAGCCCCGGCCAACUCUGUGCCAGCAGCCGCGGUAAGACAGAGGGGGCAAGCGUUGCUCGGAAUUACUGGGCGUAAAGGGCGCGUAGGCGGGAUGGUAAGUCGGUCGUGAAAUCCCUCGGCUCAACCGAGGAACGUCGAUCGAUACUACCGUUCUUGAGGAUUGCAGAGGAGACUGGAAUUCCCGGUGUAGCGGUGAAAUGUGUAGAGAUCGGGAGGAACACCGGUGGCGAAGGCGGGUCUCUGGGCAAUUCCUGACGCUGAGGCGCGAAAGCGUGGGGAGCAAACAGGAUUAGAUACCCACGUAGUCCCUGAGCGGGCUGGCAAGGCGCAU